rnacentral:misc_RNA from 2 species
AACGCACAUUGCGCCCUUUAGUAUUCUGAAGGGCAUGCCUGUUCGAGCGUCAUUAUCACUAAUCAAGCCCGGCUUGCUGUUGGACCCAUUUUUGUCGUGAAAAACGACAGGUCCAAAAGAUAAUGACGGUGUUAUUUGGACCCUAGAUGCAACGAGCUUUUAUUAGCACGCGUUUAGUAGGACCUUUUAACCCGGUCUCUUUAACCAUUUUUCUAAGGUUGACCUCGGAUCAGGUAGGAAUACCCGCUGAACUUAA